GGCUCCGUGGCUUAAUGGUUACGGCUUCUGCCUCACAGGCAGAAGGUUCAGGGAUCAAAUCCCGGUCGGUACCU
rnacentral:tRNA from 1 species